GGAGUUGUGGCUCAGUGGUGGAGCGCUCAUCUCACACAUGUGAGGUGCUGGGUUUGAUCCUCUGCACCA
rnacentral:tRNA from 1 species